UACGUAGGGGGCAAGCGUUGUCCGGAUUUAUUGGGCGUAAAGAGCGUGUAGGCGGCCGCACAGGUCCGUUGUGAAAACUGGAGGCUUAACCUUCAGACGUCGAUGGAAACCGUGCGGCUAGAGUCCGGAAGAGGAGAGUGGAAUUCCUGGUGUAGCGGUGAAAUGCGCAGAUAUCAGGAAGAACACCCGUGGCGAAGGCGGCUCUCUGGGACGGUACUGACGCUGAUGCGCGAAAGCGUGGGGAGCAAACAGG
rnacentral:rRNA from 1 species